rnacentral:lncRNA from 1 species
GUUUUUUUUUUUUGGGGUCUUUUUCAGAGACGACGCCAUUUUUUAUUUUUGAGGUUUAAAGACCUAUAUAUCUAGGUCGCUACAUUGAGCAAAGGACAUCGUUCGACACUUCGACUCUCCAUUUCAGCCUACGCACUUCCAAAGUUCCAAAAGACAGCAAGCUGAUGCAAAUCUCUUAGAACCCAUUAGCUUUCUUAAUUAUUUGGCUGUAAAGGAGACUAUUUUCAAACUUGGAGUUCGAGUUGCUGACUUGGAGUUCGAUUUGCAGACUUUGAGUUCGAUUAUUAGAGUUCGAUUUGCAUACUUGGAGUUCGAUUAUUGGAGUUCGAUUCGCAGACUUCGAGUUUGAUUAUUGGAACUUGGAGUUUGACUUAACUUGCAAACCUGGAGUUCGACUUGCAGACAAGAUUUGAAGGUACGAUUCCAAUUGAUUUUCGCACUUUGAAUGUUUAGGCUCUGCUUUUUAAAGACUUUGUGAAUAUAAGAUUGUUGAUUAUUACAACUAAUUCGGAAUUGCUUUGUAUCAUUAACUGAAUGCAUAGAUGUUGGUUGAUAUUGUUCAAAUUCGCUGCCCAGAUUUCAUCAGACUCCUUGCCCAAAUAGAAUGGCUGGUUGUUUGUUAAAAAGUAAAAACUUCUCGAGUUUACUACUUCUAUUGUGCCCAUUUUGUUUCCUUGAUGUAGACAAAGUCUACUAAAUGUUGUUUAAUUGUUAUCCCCAGAUUGUCGAUUGUGACCAUUUU